rnacentral:misc_RNA from 1 species
AAGGACCAUUAGCUCUGAUACCAUUGUUACGUGAUUUGCCAACCACAGGAACACAGUAAUAGGAAGAACAAAGAAUAGAGAGAGAAUCAAUAGAAUUCAUAGAGAGAAGCACUUCUUCAUUGAUCUGUUAUCCAAGAUACAUCAUACAUAUAUUCUUUUAUUAUUUAUACAACUGGUAUUCAAAUGAUAUAAACGUUGGGACGUCCUCUACUUACGAUGCGCUACAUCGGAGGCCGGGUGUAGUGAGAAAUAUGCAA